ACGUAGGGUGCGAGCGUUAAUCGGAAUUACUGGGCGUAAAGCGUGCGCAGGCGGUUCGCUAAGACAGGUGUGAAAUCCCCGGGCUUAACCUGGGAAUGGCGCUUGUGACUGGCGGGCUGGAGUACGGCAGAGGGGGGUGGAAUUCCACGUGUAGCAGUGAAAUGCUUAGAGAUGUGGAGGACCACCGAUGGCGACGGCAGCCCCCUGUCCGAUACUGACGCUCCUGCACGAAAUCUUGGGGAGCAAUCUU
rnacentral:rRNA from 1 species